rnacentral:rRNA from 1 species
CGGCGAGUGAAGCGGCAACAGCUCAAAUUUGAAAUCUGGCCCUCGGGUCCGAGUUGUAAUUUGUAGAGGAUGCUUUUGGCGCGGUGCCUUCCGAGUUCCCUGGAACGGGACGCCUUAGAGGGUGAGAGCCCCGUACGGUUGGACACCAAGCCUCUGUAAAGCUCCUUCGACGAGUCGAGUAGUUUGGGAAUGCUGCUCUAAAUGGGAGGUAAAUUUCUUCUAAAGCUAAAUAUUGGCCAGAGACCGAUAGCGCACAAGUAGAGUGAUCGAAAGAUGAAAAGCACUUUGAAAAGAGGGUUAAAUAGCACGUGAAAUUGUUGAAAGGGAAGCGUUUGCGACCAGACCUUUUCCUGGCGGAUCAUCCGGUGUUCUUCACCGGUGCACUUCGCCAGGUCGAGGCCAGCAUCGGUUUCCACGGGGGGAUAAAGGCUCUGGGAACGUAGCUCCCUCGGGAGUGUUAUAGCCCUCUGCAUAAUACCCUCGCGGGGACCGAGGACCGCGCCUUCGGGCAAGGAUGCUGGCGUAAUGGUCGUCAACGACCCGUCUUGAAACACGGACCAAGGAGUCGAACAUUUGUGCGAGUGUUUGGGUGUUAAACCCUCACGCGUAAUGAAAGUGAACGGAGGUGAGAGCCCUUACGGGUGCAUCAUCGACCGAUCCUGAUGUCUUCGGAUGGAUUUGAGUAAGAGCAUAACUGUUCGGACCCGAAAGAUGGUGAACUAUGCGUGGAUAGGGUGAAGCCAGAGGAAACUCUGGUGGAGGCUCGCAGCGGUUCUGACGUGCAAAUCGAUCGUCAAAUCUGCGCAUGGGGGCGAAAG